AAGAGAUUAGUUGAGUGGUAAAACGGCAUAUUUACACUAUGCAGAGAGAGUUUCAAUUACUCUAUCUCUUA
rnacentral:tRNA from 1 species